rnacentral:rRNA from 1 species
GAUGAACGCUGACAGAAUGCUUAACACAUGCAAGUCAACUGUGGCGGACGUGUGAGUAACGCGUAAAGAACUUGCCUCACCGCUAGGGACAACAUUUGGAAACGAAUGCUAAUACCUGAUACUGUGAGAUAGCUUUGCGUCCCAUUAGCUAGUUGGAGAGGUAACGGCUCACCAAGGCGAUGAUGGGUAGCCGGCCUGAGAGGGUGAUCGGCCACAAGGGGACUGGGACACGGCCCGUAGACCUACGCGAGGGAGAAGUGGGGAAUAUUGGGCAAUGGACCAAAGUCUGUACGAGCAAUGCUGUGUGAAGGAUGAAGUUUUCGGAAUGUAAAGUUCUUUCAGUUGGGAAGCGGUACGAACAGAAGAAGCGACGGCUAAAUACGUGCAAGCAGCCGCGGUAAUU